GUACUCCAUUGGUUAGAGCACUGGUCUUGCAGAUGAGUGGUGCCGGCUUGAAUCCCCCCUU
rnacentral:tRNA from 1 species